UUUGUCGUCCCAACGCCUUGCCGCUACUCCUCUGCACCCCACGGACGCGAGCGCGGAUCGAAGCCGCCACCCGCCGCCCGCCGCUCCUCCUCUGUUGCCAGAUGGGCGCGAGCGCGGAUCGCCGUCGCCGCUGCCCGCUCCUCUUCUACUGCUCCACGAACGCGGAUUUCAGUCGCCGCCAUCCGCUCCUCUUCUACUGCCCCACGAGCGCGGAUUUCAGUCGCCGCCAUCUGCUCCUACUCUACUGCCCCAUGGACGCGAGCAUGGGCCACUGUUGCCGCCUACCGCUCUCCUCUGCUGCCCCAUGGACGCAGGCAUGGGCCGCCGUCGCCGCCUACUGUUCUCCUCUGCUUGCCCACGGAUGCCAGCGAGGGUCUCCGUGGCCGCCAUCCACUUCACUUCUACCGCCCCACUAACACAAGCGCGGGCCGCCGUGGCCGCCUGCCACUCUCCUCUGCUGACCCAUGGAUGUGAGCACGGGCCGCCGCCGCUGCCACCCGCCGCUGCCACGUUGAAGAAGAGUCACCAAGCCGGCGAACUUUGAUCAGUAUUGCAUCAUUGCCUGUUCAAGCAUUAGCAAGUACAGUCAAUGAGGAAAAUCUACCGGAUCUGAAGUACCAAUUCGAUACAAUUGAUGUUGAUAAGUGGACCAAUUACUGUAUUGAAGAAAUGCAGCAUUGGCCCUUGCGAAGGAUCUUCACACUAAAGGCUCCUCAUGUUCUCAAGAUUAUUCAAGCAAGCAAGCAAUAUACUGUAUCUCUCAAGCAAUUUACUCAUACGUGUGAUUGGAAAGACGACAACCAUUUGUUCUACGACACUACUAUCUGACAGGUUCUUAACUCAUCAGGCCGGGCUACUGAGUAUACAUAUUGUGUUCAUCUCGCCUUCCUUCUUAGGAAAAAUCAUGUACUGAAGGUAAGCUAUUCUUUAUUUACAUUUUAUUUGUUUCUUCCUGCUACUUGUACAAUUUGCUACGGAAAUCUUCUGACUGCUUGCCUGAAUUAGAUCAUAUUUGCACCGUUGCCUGCAUUUUGUAUUGAGAACCAUCUGCUUUAGGCAUUUAGCUGUACAAAACUGUGAAAGUAGGCAAGAACCACCUGCAGCUCAAGUCUUGUAUUGUUCGGCAAUGACAAGCUAGAGUAAAAGUGGAGCCAAGAUCAAUUGUUGAAAACCUUUUACUGACUAUGAGCGAGGGAAUGUAGAAAGUGGCACUGCACUAUGAAUAUGCCCUUUGUUAGCUCUGAUUUGGCAUUUUUGUGUAACAGUAGCUUAUAUAAGGAUGUGGUGGCGUGGCAAGUAAGAUUAUCUCAGUAGUCAGCUGUCAGCGCUACUAUCUGAGAGAUUGAGAUUGCACUACUAUCUCUACGGUCGACCGGUUUAUGCGCUAACCUAGGUUCUAAUAAAAUGCAAGAGCUUGCGUAAUGCUCAUUUGCUACUUCCAGUCAGUUUGUAUUAACUCUCUCUCUCUCUCUCUCUCUCUCUCUCUCUCUCUCUCUCUCUCUCCCUCUCUCUCUCCCUCCCCUGUGACAGCAAUGUAGCAAAAAUUCAUCGCAAAAUGGGCCACUCCCUCUUGAUGCCCCCUCAUGGUGCCAGGCCCCUUCUAAUGUUGAAGGGCUUCUCAAGUCAGAAAAACUCUCAUAACUGCUUCAACAUUUAUUUCUUGAAGCUGUAACAAGAGUUCCCGCAACAAGGCAUCUUGCAAUAUUUUGGAAAAGUGUAUUAUUUUCUAGACAUUUUAUAUUGCCUGACCAUGCUCCUGAUGAGGCUUGAAAAUUCUUGAAGUGUGCUAAGAUCCCCUGUCACAUUCAGGUUUAUUCACCAUUAAAUUUCUAUGAAGGGACUUGCCAAUCCACCUUACACCCAUACUCAAAUAGUGUUUCCAGAGAGUAGAAACAUCGCAUGCAGAAAUCUUCAAGAAAGACGUGAUUGAAGUUGUAACCGAUGAAAUGCCUGCUGGUGAAGGUAUUGUGGAUCCAACUCACCACCUAAUUGGCGACAAAGGUAGGUCCGAUUAAGUGAUCAGCAUGCAUGCAUGAUGAGCUACUUACUGUUAUUCAGAGAUACAGUCUGAUAGUAGUAACUUAAUUUGCUUAGAUGCUCGCGGAACCGUAGAUAACGGCUCAUUUUUCAGCCCAAUUGUGACAAACAUGGUAACAGGCCAAAUUAUUUUCCUUUUAGAUUUAUUAUUCCACAGUUGCACACUGUCUGUCAUCAGUAAGUUAAUCAAGAUAAGUUUCACAUGCAUGUACUGAACAAACAAAUCUCCGACGACAACCAAUUCUGUGAAAGUUGCUGCCUCUAUGUUUUGUGCCGUCUAAGUCUUUCUUGUGUAUCUGAUCACCAAGUAUUUUCCCUAUACCAUGUAUCAUCCGAAGGGGCGAUAGACCAAAGUCUCGGAUUCCUCGAGCAACAGAUGUAGUGUUGUCAGUCGAUGUGAAUCCGUCUACUCCUAGGCAACAACAGAGGGGUGAUUGGGAUACUGAAAGCCAGUGUAUGGAGGCUUAGUGGAGUCAGUCACCAGCCUCUUCGUUGUUUAAACAGCAGCAUCAAGCAGCGCCAGAAACAUGUCAGUUACUU